rnacentral:rRNA from 1 species
UGGGGAAUUUUCCGCAAUGGGCGAAAGCCUGACGGAGCGAUACCGCGUGUCGGAAGACGGCCUUAGGGUUGUAAACGACUGUCGGAGGGGAAGAAAAAAAUGACGGUACCCUCAAAGGAAGCACCGGCUAACUCUGUGCCAGCAGCCGCGGUAAGACAGAGGGUGCAAGCGUUGUCCGGAUUUAUUGGGCGUAAAACGUCUGUAGGCGGUUUAUUAAGUCUGAAGUUAAAUAGUUGAGCUUAACUCAAUCUCUGCUUUAGAUACUGAUGAACUAGAGUGCGUUAGGGGUUAUUGGAAUUCCCGGUGUAGUGGUGAAAUACGUAGAUAUCGGGAGGAACUCCAGUGGCGAAAGCGAAUAACUGGGGCGUAACUGACGCUGAGAGACGAAAGCGUGGGGAGC